UUUUUUUUUUUUUAUAAAUCUCCCUGCCUUUCCUAGUUUACAAUAUGUGACAACAAACAACAAUGCAUAGUCCUUCGGUGAACGUGUUGAGUGAACGUGAACCUCAGGGAUGGGUCAUUCACUGAAUGAGGAAGCAUUUCACAAUGAUUUUGUGAAAAAGAACUCAACGAUUCGGUGAACACAUUUUUGGAACAAAUCUUUUUAAAGAACUGAUUUGAAUGAUUCAGUACACUCAAAAGAACUGCCGUGCCCAUCGCUACACCAAAUGGGUACUAGUUGAGUUGAGUCCUUUCCAGAGAAGUGGAAAUUUGCAAACAGACAAAUGUGUCUGUGAUUGCACAAUCAAUGUAAGUAUCUUAUCUGCAGUUAUUCAACUUUUUGUUUCAGGAUAAUUUGUUGGGGUUAUUUACUGCUGUACUGGGCCACUGGGUUGUGCUCAGGUGCUCCACAAUAUGCUAAAACAUACACUCUUUGGCACAGGUGUCAAACUGGUGGUCCGGGGGCCAGAUCCGGCCCGCGUCAUCAUUUUAUGUUGCCCGCGAGAGUGCAUCAACUUUGUUUCUUGCUAAAAUACCAAAAUUCCAAAUUGGGUUCACUUUUAAAAAUAGAGAUAUUGCAAGCAUUUUUUUGUUACCAACCCCAAUUUUAAAAUAAAAUUGAUUCAUACUGUAGCUGAACAAACAGUUUUUACUUGCUUUUGAUUUCAAAAGUAAUUAUCCAUUAAUUUGUGUGUAUGUAAUAUUACGAGGCAGUCAUACAUUCAUAUGGGUUUGCAGCCAUAACGGCCCUCCGAGUGGAACCAUAACUGCGAUGUGGCCCAUGACAAAAAUGUGUUUGACACCGCUGCUCUAUGGCUAAGGUACACCUAGAUAAUGCAUGUGGUAAAUUACUGAAACGAUAGAAACUAUUUACAUUCACAAACAGUCAUUUGAUUGAGGAAUUUUGUCCGUGUGAGAUGCCCUUUUUACAAAUGUGCAGAAUCAUAUUGCCAAGUUCAAAGUACUUUUCAUCUUGUCUAAAAUUUGCCACGGUUAUUCAAUGAAGCUGUAGUGUCCUCUGGUUGUCAAGUGUAAGCCAUUGUAACAAAUCGCAGGUAGGCUGUGGUCUGAUGAUUAUGAUCAUGAUGAUUAUACCAAUACCCACAAAAUGUGUGUCAUCAUUUACUGAAAAUAUAGAAAUGACACAAAGUUACAUGAAUUGGGAAACCAAUGCUACAUGUGAUAGACUACUUUAAACUGCAACCUAUACUACAAACAUGGAAUCCAGAGAUUGAACUACAGAUGUGCUAAUAUACACACAGGGCACAUUCAGUCAUUUUUUGCAUUGUUGAGCUUGACAGGAACCUUACCUUUGUUUUACAGGAUGGAUUCAAAUUUUCAAAAAUUCCUUCAAGAGCACCGAAGGUUAGAUGAUAAUGUCAUUGCCACCUUUAUUGAGGAGAAGAUUGAUUGCUAAGCUGUCAAUGCAAAGACAGAUCAGGAGCUGACAGAAUAUGUUCCCCAAACUGGAGACUGAAUUGCAAUACAUCAGUACUGCAGAAGCGAAGUGGUUUUGUUUGAAGGAACCAACAGAACCAUAUCCAAAGCAACUGAAUCUUUGAUUUCAAAAAUUAAACAAAGAAUGAUGACCAUCUGAUCUGGCUCCAGACGUCGCCUCCAGACUCCGGCCCACAUUCCUGCAUUCAAUGUUUAUAGUGGCUCCCCGCAGUUCCUUUCUUCCUUGACAUCUGUUUCUUAUUGUCUCCAAAUACCCCCCGAUGGGGGGCCUUCCUGCAAUAAUCUCCUACCCCCCUAUCUGAUUGUAUUGCAAUACACAUCCUUGCUCUUCCAAACUAGUUACACCAUGAAACUCUAUAUUAUAUUCUAUUACAUAUAGAAUUACAUAUUAGAAUAUAAAGUAUUCUAUAUUCCCUUCAGUGAUAAAAUUAUUUAAUAAUUGGAGUAUCAUUUAUCAUAUUUAUUUACAUAGGCUAGAAGAAUAGGGCGGCACGGUGGCCGACUGGUUAGAGCGUCAGCCUCACAGUUCUGAGGUGCGGGGUUCAAUCCCCGUCCCCGCCUGUGUGGAGUUUGCAUGUUCUCCCCGUGCCUGCGUGGGUUUUCUCCGGGCACUCCGGUUUCCUCCCACAUCCCAAAAACAUGCAUUAAUUGGAGACUCUAAAUUGCCCGUAGGCAUGACUGUGAGUGCGAAUGGUUGUUUGUUUCGAUGUGCCCUGCGAUUGGCUGGCAACCAGUUCAGGGUGUACCCCGCCUCCUGCCCGAUGACAGCUGGGAUAGGCUCCAGCACGCCCGCGACCCUAGUGAGGAGAAGCGGCUCAGAAAAUGGAUGGAUGGAUGGAUGGAUAGAAGAAUAGGUUUAUAUUUACAGUUCUGAAAUGUAAAUGUCAGUGCAAUGUUGAGCUGUAACUACCAAUAGAAACAGGUGAAUAUGUUUUAACACAGAUGAACCUCAUGGCAUGCUUAUACAAAGACAUCUUGUUAAAAAGGGGGCAGGGUUCCUCGGUGAGAGGGUUUUCUAUUUUCCUUCCUAAGAAAAAGUUUGGGAACCCUUGUAAGGAAUAAGGCUGCUAACUAGGACCCCUUUGGGCAAACAUCUAGAUAUCUUCCAGAACACUCCUUAAAUUGGAAAAUGCGGGGUACAGAAGAGGUUUUUAUGAUAGCAUAAUUGCAGUGGAUGUCUUAAACAUGCAUUCAUUAUAGCCGGUCACCGCCAUUAUCAACGCCCUCAAACUUUAUUGUCUUUCUUUUUUUUUUUAUCAUUAAACAUAAAGCUAAAUAAAUGCAGACAAGAUACUUAGAUUGCUUGAUCCAUCACAGUCAAAUUUGUCUGUUUGCGAACUUCCACUUCUCCGACAAGGACUCAACUAGGACCCCUUGGGUGGCCGCUAUGCGCCAGAAAAGACCACACUAAAGUUAAAACAUGUCAGGGAUAAAAAGGUUGUCAUGAUAGCGUGAUUGCAACGAGCGAAUGCUUAAAAGCAUGGAAGAUGAAAGGAAACAUGCAAACUAAUUGUAGCCGGUUACUGCUAGUACUCCUAUAUAAUGAUCAACCUCCUCAAACUAGACCAAUAUUAUUGCCUUUCAGUUGAAAAAAAAGGGAUAUAGGAUAUAUCAUGACAUGACCACUUAUUCACAGAAUUCAUACCAAUAUAAAAAUAUCUAGACUGUCUAAUUAUUGUUCUGCUGUGGUUUGCACCCCUAUUCCUCUUGUCCGUUCUGUUCCUCUGUCUGUCCCCUAAAAUCCUUUUCUGUCCGGCUGCAUUUUCAAUAAACCUCAGAAUAAUUAAAAAAUAAGCAGAGGGAGUAUUUCAAACUCCUCGGUUGCACAGCAAAACUGUUCUAGCACAAAAGGCAUACAGAGCCAUCAUUCUGCAUGGCCAUGCAGCUGAACAGGACCGGUUAAAAAAAAGAGAGAGGGGACUUGGCGAGUAAGAAAAAAAUGGGUUUUUCGGUAUUAUUGCUUUUUUCUCUUCGCCCCACCUGUACCGUCUACCUUCCUGCAAUACCGUGAGAUUUCCCACAAUACUGCAAUAAUUAUCAUACCAUAAGAUUAAUAACAUGAUAAAACCAUAACCGUGAGGGCAAACAUUUGAGUGCGCUUGACCGAACACAGUAAGCUCAAGUAUGACACGACCAAGUGCUCUCAAAAGUUAACUUUGAGCCCUGGCCUAAUAUACAGUAUGUAUAUGUUUAUACACUAUAAGUAUUUGCUCACCCUCCUUGACUCACAUAUGAUUUUACGUGAUCUGCCAUUUGAAAUCCAUAUGGUUUAAUAUGAUGUUGGUCUUCCCUUUGGAGCUGUAACAGCCUUAACUUUUGUGGGAAGGCUUUCAACAAGGUUUAGGAGCGAGUGUAUGGGAAUUUUUGCCCAUUCUUCCAGGACCAUAUUUGUGUGGUCACACACUGAUGUUAAACGAGAAGGCCUGCGUUGCUGUCCACUUGAAAUCAACCCAAAGGUGUUCUAUCGGGUUGAGGGCAGUACUCUGUACAGGCGAGUCAAGUUCAUCCAUACCAAAUUCACUCAUCUAUGUCUUUAUGUAUCUUGCUUUGUGCACUGUUGCACAGAAAUGGUGGAAUAGGGCAGGGUAAUCCCCAAACUGUUUGGCUGUCCAAAAUCUCUUGAUAUGUUGAAGCAUUCAGAGUUCCUUUCACUGGAGCUCAGGGGCAAAUAUUUUGGAUAUUUCCAACUUUGUGGGAACAUUUUGGAGAUGGCCCAUUCCUGUUCCAACAUGACUGUGCAUCAGUGCACAUAUCAAGGUUCAUAAAGACGUGGAUGAGAGAGUCUGAUGUGGAUCAGAAUCAGAAUCAUCUUUAUUUGCCAAGUAUGUCCAAAAACACACAAGGAAUUUGUCUCCAGUAGUUGGAGUCGCUCUCGUAUGACAACACACAGUCAAUUGACAGAGAACACUUUGGAGACAUAAAGAUGAACUUGACUGCCCUGCACAAUCCUGACCUCAACCCUAAAGAACACUUUUGAAUGAAUUAGAGCAGAGACUGAGAGCCAGGCCUUCUUAUCCAACAUCAGUGUGUAACCUCACAAAUGCUCUUCUGGAAAAAUGGUCAUUAAUUCACAGAAUUACAUAUCGCUAAUUAAUUAUAUAACUUUUAAGGGAUGUAAAUUAUUCAUGAUUGAAUAAUGCAAAGUGACUAAUGCAAAGUGGAAAAGUGUUCUGUGGUCCGACGGGUCCACAUUUCAAGUUGUUUUUGGAAAUUGUGGACGUCAUGUCCUCCGCGCCAAAGAGGAAAAGAACCAUCCGGACUGUUAUGGACGCAAAGUUCAAAAGCCAGCAUCUGUGAUGGUAUGGGGCUGUGUUAGUGUCAAUGGCAUGGGUAACUUACACAUCUGUGAAGGCACCAUUAAUGCUGAAAGGUACAUACAGGUUUUGGAGAAACACAUGCUGCCAUCCAAGCAACGUCUUUUUCAUGGACGACCCUGCUAAUUUCAGCAAGACAAUGCCAAACCACCUUCUGCACGUGUUACAACAGCGUGGCUUCGUAGUAAAAGAGUCCGGGUACUAGACUCGCCUGCCUGCAGUCCAGACCUGUCUCCCAUUGAAAAUGUGUGGCGCAUUAUGAAGCGUAAAAUACGACAAUGAAGACCCCGGACUGUUGAACAGCUGAAGCUUUACAUCAAGCAAGAAUGGGAAAGAAUUCCACCUACAAAGCUUCAACAAUUAGUGUCCUCAGUUCCCAAACGUUUAUUGAAUGUUGUUAAAAGAAAAGGUGAUGUA